rnacentral:rRNA from 1 species
AGUCGUACGCUUCUUUUUCCACCGGAGCUUGCUCCACCGGAAAAAGAAGAGUGGCGAACGGGUGAGUAACACGUGGGUAACCUGCCCAUCAGAAGGGGAUAACACUUGGAAACAGGUGCUAAUACCGUAUAACAAUCGAAACCGCAUGGUUUUGAUUUGAAAGGCGCUUUCGGGUGUCGCUGAUGGAUGGACCCGCGGUGCAUUAGCUAGUUGGUGAGGUAACGGCUCACCAAGGCCACGAUGCAUAGCCGACCUGAGAGGGUGAUCGGCCACAUUGGGACUGAGACACGGCCCAAACUCCUACGGGAGGCAGCAGUAGGGAAUCUUCGGCAAUGGACGAAAGUCUGACCGAGCAACGCCGCGUGAGUGAAGAAGGUUUUCGGAUCGUAAAACUCUGUUGUUAGAGAAGAACAAGGAUGAGAGUAACUGUUCAUCCCUUGACGGUAUCUAACCAGAAAGCCACGGCUAACUACGUGCCAGCAGCCGCGGUAAUACGUAGGUGGCAAGCGUUGUCCGGAUUUAUUGGGCGUAAAGCGAGCGCAGGCGGUUUCUUAAGUCUGAUGUGAAAGCCCCCGGCUCAACCGGGGAGGGUCAUUGGAAACUGGGAGACUUGAGUGCAGAAGAGGAGAGUGGAAUUCCAUGUGUAGCGGUGAAAUGCGUAGAUAUAUGGAGGAACACCAGUGGCGAAGGCGGCUCUCUGGUCUGUAACUGACGCUGAGGCUCGAAAGCGUGGGGAGCAAACAGGAUUAGAUACCCUGGUAGUCCACGCCGUAAACGAUGAGUGCUAAGUGUUGGAGGGUUUCCGCCCUUCAGUGCUGCAGCUAACGCAUUAAGCACUCCGCCUGGGGAGUACGACCGCAAGGUUGAAACUCAAAGGAAUUGACGGGGGCCCGCACAAGCGGUGGAGCAUGUGGUUUAAUUCGAAGCAACGCGAAGAACCUUACCAGGUCUUGACAUCCUUUGACCACUCUAGAGAUAGAGCUUCCCCUUCGGGGGCAAAGUGACAGGUGGUGCAUGGUUGUCGUCAGCUCGUGUCGUGAGAUGUUGGGUUAAGUCCCGCAACGAGCGCAACCCUUAUUGUUAGUUGCCAUCAUUUAGUUGGGCACUCUAGCAAGACUGCCGGUGACAAACCGGAGGAAGGUGGGGAUGACGUCAAAUCAUCAUGCCCCUUAUGACCUGGGCUACACACGUGCUACAAUGGGAAGUACAACGAGUCGCGAAGUCGCGAGGCUAAGCUAAUCUCUUAAAGCUUCUCUCAGUUCGGAUUGUAGGCUGCAACUCGCCUACAUGAAGCCGGAAUCGCUAGUAAUCGCGGAUCAGCACGCCGCGGUGAAUACGUUCCCGGGCCUUGUACACACCGCCCGUCACACCACGAGAGUUUGUAACACCCGAAGUCGGUGAGGUAAC